UACGUAGGGACCGAGCGUUGUCCGGAAUCAUUGGGCGUAAAGAGCGUGUAGGCGGCUAUUUAAGUCCUGCGUGAAAUCCUGCGGCUCAACCGCAGACGGUCGUGGGAAACUGGAUGGCUAGAGUGCGGGAGAGGAGAGUGGAAUUCCCGGUGUAGCGGUGAAAUGGACAGAUAUCGGAUGGAACACCAGUGGCGAAGGCGGCCGACUGGGCCGAUCCUGACGCUGAGACACGAAAGCUAGGGUAGCGAACCGG
rnacentral:rRNA from 1 species